rfam:Triticum aestivum genome assembly, contig: Triticum_aestivum_CS42_TGACv1_scaffold_642252_T_3B-0.130307_3AL-0.074109
UUAUUACUCCCUCCAUCCCAAAAUUCUAGUCUUGGAUUUGUCUAGAUACGGAUGUAUCUAAUACUAAAACGUGAUUUGAUACAUCUGUAUCUAGACAAAACUAAGACAUGAAUUUUGGGACGGAGGGAGUAGAAA